UACGCCCCGACGAGUAGGAGGGCCGCCGCGGUGCGCGUCGAAGCGCCGGCCGCGAGGCCGCGUGGAGCCGCCGCGGGCGCAGAUCUUGGUGGUAGUAGCAAAUAUUCGAGUGAGAUCCUCGAGGGCCGAGUGGCGGAGAAGGGUUCCAUGUGAACAGCAGUUGUACAUGGGUCAGUCGAUCCUAAGCCCCAGGGAAGUUCCGCUCCGAGCGGAGGCGGGCGCCCCCCUCCUCGCGGGGCCGGGGCCUCGCCCCCCGGGCGAAAGGGAAUCGGGUCAAUAUUCCCGAACCCGCAGGCGGAGCCCUCCGUCCUCCGCGGCGGUCCGAGCUGCAAAGCAAGCGAGCCCGCAGACGCCGGCCGGGGCCCCGGGAAGAGUUUUCUUUUCUUGGUAAGGGGCGGGAUCCCUGGAAUCGGCUUGUCCGGAGCUAGGGGCUGCGGCCCCGUAGAGCGCCGCGUCUCCGGCGGCGUCCGGCGAGCUCCGGCCGGCCCUUGAAAAUGCGGGGGAGUGCGUGGACCGUCGCCUCGGGUCGUACCCAUAACCGCAGCCGGUCUCCAAGGUGAACAGCCUCUGGUCGAUAGAACAAUGUAGGUAAGGGAAGUCGGCAAGCCGGAUCCGUAACUUCGGGAGAAGGAUUGGCUCUGAGGGCUGGGUCGGUCGGGCCGGGGCUGGAAGCGGGUCGCGGCGCCCCGGCGCGGGCCGGGCGAGCGGGCGCCGGGCCGGCGGAGGUCGGCCGGGCGCGCCGUGUCCGGGCGGCGGCGCUCCCCCCCGCCGGACCGCGGGGCCGUCCGCGCGCGGGCCCCCCUCCGUGCCCUCCGCAGCCNUUGAAGAGCCUAGAAACCUGCCGUGGUCGCACCGGCCGCCCGGCCGAAGAAGGGACGACUGGCUGCACCCGCCUGCGUGUCGUCGCCUCCUCGCGGCGGCCGCCUGGCUGGGUCUCCCGGUCCCCGGCCGGGCCGGUGUCGGCCGCGCCGAGGUGCCCCGGGUCCGCGGGCGAUUGUUGCUUGCCCUGCCGACCUGUCUUGAAACAUGGACCAAGGAUUCUAUAGGGCCUACGAGUCGGGGGGCCGCCAGGCGAAGCCUCGAGGCGCAACGAGAGUGAAGGCCAGCCAGGGCCCGGCCAAGGCGGGAUCCGGCCGCGCGGCAGCCGGCGCACAAGCGCCCCAACUCCCCCCCCCAUGAUUGGGUACAGGGGCAAAAGACUAAUCGAAACGUCUACUAGCUGGUUCCCUCCGAAUUUUCCCUCAGGAUAGCUGGCGCCCGGGAAAGGGAGAGAGAGAGCAAUUGCAUCCGGUAAAGCGGCAGGGCGCGCCGUGUCCUGGCGGCGGCGCUCCCCCCCUCCGACUGCGGGACCGUCCGCGUGCGGGCCCCCUCCGUCCCCUCCGCCGCCUGCCCCGUCAUAGGGGCGCGGCCGGCGGUCGCGCACGGCCGGCGGGUCGCGGCGUGCGGCGCCCGCGGGCCCCGGCACCGGGCAGGGGACCCUUUCAGGCCGACACGCCGGCUCCGGAGCCUCUGGGGCGCCGGGCGAGCCUGGACCGGCGUGGGACGUGCCUCGUGGACAGUCCUGGCUGCGCAGCCGCCUAGCUGCGGUCGCUUCGGCCGGCGCCCAACAGCCAGCUCAGAACUUGUACGGACAAAGGGGAAUCCCACUGUCUAAUUAAAACAGAGCAUCACGACGUCCGUUGCCGGGGCGCUGACGCGAUGUGAUUUCUGCCCAGUGCUCUGAAUGUCAAAGUGAAGAAAUUCAGCGAAACGCGGGUAAAUGGCGCGAGUAACUAUGACUCUCUUAAGGUAGCCAAAUACCUCGUCGUCUAAUUAGUGACGCGCAUGAAUGGAUUAAUGGGAUUCCCGCUGUCCCUAUCUAUCUGGCGAAACCACAGCCAAGGGAACGGGCUUGGCAGAAUCAGCGGGGAAAGAAAACCCUGUUGAGCUUGACUCUAGGCUGACCUUGUGAAGAGACACUGGGGGUGUAGGAUAGGUGGGAGAGCCCCGGCCCGACGGUGAAAUACCACUACUCUCGUCGUUUCUGUACUUAGCCGGUGGGGCCGGGAGCGGGCCCCGGGCGGGCCCAGUCUUCUGGCGCUACGCGGCCGGCCACCUCACGGCGACGCCGGCCGCCGGCCGCCACCCGCUCCCGCGACAGCUUUAGGCAGGGAGUUUGACUGGGGGUGGUACAUCUGUCAAAGGGUAACGCAGGUGUCCUAAGGCGAGCUCAGCGAGGACGGAAACCUCGCGCGGAGCAAAAGGGCAAAAGCUCGUUGGAUUUUGAUUUUCAGUAUGAAUACGGACCGUCAAAGCGUGGCCUAUCGAUCCUUUCGAGCUUCGGAGUUUGAAGCAAGAGGUGUCAGAAAAGUUACAACAGGGAUAACUGGCUUGUGGCAGCCAAGCGUUCAUGGCGACGUUGCUUUUUGAUCCUUCGAUGUCGGCUCUUCCUAUCAUUGCGAAGCAGAAAUCGCCAAGUGUUGGAUUGUUCACCCACCAAUAGGGAACGUGAGCUGGGUUUAGUCCGUCGUGAGACAGGUUAGAUUUACCCUACUGAUGAGAGGUCGUCGCCACGGUAAUCCUGCUCAGUACGAGAGGAACCGCAGAUUGGACCCCUGGUUCAGGCGCUCGGUCGAAAAGCAGGUGGUACAAGGUUACCACCCGAGAGAUUACGGCUGAAUGCCUCUAAGUCGAAAUCUCUGCCGGUGCGUCCCGCCCGAGGGCGGCUCGCAUCAGCGCCCACCCGCUCUUGCAUUGGGGGGCCGGGCAGACUCCGCCGCGGUCCCUGUCCGGGGACCGGGAGCUCUGGCGGAAGCCGAACCGCCGUCUCGAGAGGGAUGCCAGAUCACUUGCAGACGACUUGGGUAUGGAUCCCCCGAUCGUNUGCUACGCGGCC
rnacentral:rRNA from 1 species